rnacentral:lncRNA from 1 species
UAAUAUUUUCAUCAGAAACUAUCAAGAACACUCCUUAGGGUUUCAAACAAGAAAACCCAAACAACUCAAGAUUAAACCGUGGGUUUUAGAAAUUGAUUGAAGAUUUGGAAUCCCCAAGCCGUGGGCAUCAAUAAUCAUCCUAUAAUUUCCUAAAUAGAGGUACAUGGGGCUUAUCCUAAAAACUACAUGGGCUUAUCAACACUAGAACAUGAUUUAAAGAUUAUCAAGCAUGAAUUUUAAAGGGGUUUUGGAACUUAUGAUUUACAUUUCGCAUCUUGGGUGUGUUGAUGAUAUUAUUGUUUUGGUCUUUAGGCCUUUCCCCCUUAAAUUGAUUUAAACUUAUAUGAAUAUGUA